rnacentral:lncRNA from 1 species
GAGCUCUUAGCUCUUAGCCUCCGUCUCCAUUCGGCCCUCUCGAUCCUUCUCGACCCUACGUUCAAUCUGUUCUCAAAUCCCCCUCCCUCCCAGAAUUCCUUUACAGGUCACGCCCCCUCCGCUGGCCCUGACCCCGCCUUUGCCGUACACCGUGCCCCCCGUCUUAGAGGCCCCGCCCCGUUGGAGGUCCGGCUCCGGACUCCGCCCAGUUUCAGCUCCGGGUCCGGAAUCCGCAGGGUCUCAGUCUGUGGCCCCGACCCCCGCUCGCUCACCCCCAGACGCAGGCCCUGGAAGAAGUGCACGUCGGGCUGCGUGCGCUCGGGCUCCUGGCACACGAGCAGCAGCAGUGAGCAGCUCUGGCCCGGCGGUAUCACCGUGUCGCAACGCACGAUGGCGCUCAGCGGUCUAUACUAAGAGAGGCUGGAAACCAGAGAAGGCACAUCCUUGUCCUGGAUUGAUGGGGAAGAAAGAACAGACAGAAAGAGCCCAGGUGGGUGUGGGUUCGAGUCCUGGUUUGCCACUUAAUAAUUUUGGUAAUACUUAUUGUGUGCUUAUAUCCUCUUCUGAGUACCUUGUGUGUGUGUGUGUGUGUGUGUGUGUGUGUGUGUGUGUUUGUAUAAACCUCACAACGUCCUAGGAAAUGGGUUCAGUUAUCCCCAUUUUAUACAUGAAGAAACCAAGACAUAUUAAAGUUAAGUAACGUGUCUAUAAUCACAC